UGAGGAAUAUUGGUCAAUGGGCGAGAGCCUGAACCAGCCAAGUAGCGUGCAGGAUGACGGCCCUCCGGGUUGUAAACUGCUUUUAGUUGGGAAUAAAACAGCGGACUUGUCCGCUCUUGUAUGUACCUUCAGAAAAAGGACCGGCUAAUUCCGUGCCAGCAGCCGCGGUAAUACGGAAGGUCCGGGCGUUAUCCGGAUUUAUUGGGUUUAAAGGGAGCGUAGGCGGAUUGUUAAGUCAGCGGUUAAAGGGUGUGGCUCAACCAUGCAUUGCCGUUGAAACUGGCGAUCUUGAGUGCAGACAGGGAUGCCGGAAUUCGUGGUGUAGCGGUGAAAUGCUUAGAUAUCACGAAGAACUCCGAUCGCGAAGGCAGGUGUCUGGGCUGCAACUGACGCUGAGGCUCGAAAGUGUGGGUAUCAAACAGG
rnacentral:rRNA from 1 species